GAUAUCCCCCUCAGGAGCGUCACCUUCUGCUUCAGCACCACUUUCUCCGCCUGGGCCGGCUGCCCGCUGCCCAGGGAGGGCAGCCUGCCGUUGGAUUGCCCCUGCAGGGGCAUGUUGCACAACCGACCUGCGCGUGGUGGCGGUGGGAGGAAGAACAAAGCACUCGCAAGGAACCGGAGCCAGGAGGGCUCUGCGCGCCGCCGGCGACACCCGGAGACGCGCUCCCAAAUUUUUUACAGCAACUCGCAGCGAGAAACAAAAGCCUGCCUAAACACAAAGCCAGUCCGAGUGCAAGGGGAAAAGAAAUCAAACAGGCUACGUCAGCCCUGGGUCUUUUCCAACUUCUUUCUCCAAAAACUCCACUUAAUGAAAUUAAAGUUUGCGGGGUUUAACUUCUUGUUCUGUUGCAAUCGAUUGGCUUAUCUCGAGUCUACAUUACCUACCUGGAAAUCGGCACAAGGACUAUACGUAUCCACAGACUGAACACAUAUAAACCCUUGUUACCCCCGUUGCCUAGCAACACACCCAAAUCAGGCUAAUGAAAAAUCUAGGUUAUUUCCAUAGCACAGUAAUUUUCAUGCGUGCAGUGUUUCUGGGAUGUUUGUAAGCCACUCGGCAGGACCACUUCCCCUUGAGAAACACUGCUAACGUCUGCAGCAGGACCUUUUUUUGUGAUCUGACAGGGUGAGGACAACACAACAGAGCUCAGGAUCUCCAGUGACUCAGAAAUCAGUGAUUUUCAAGUUAUCAUAGAGCUGCUCUGCCCGGAUGAACAGUUUCAUAAUGUUUUCUCCUGAGCAAACACUUUAAAGCAUAACCUAGAUGACCACUGCGCAAUGGUCUCCUGUUGCAUCCUCCCACCAGCACUGAGCUAUCCAUCCAUCCGCUGCCCGUCUCAGAAGGAAUUCCUACGGGAGAGCGCGCGAGAGCCUUCCCGCGCCUCCCGUCUGCAAACAGCUGCAACAAGCCAUCGCAAGGUGUCAGCUCUGCUGGGCCGCGCACCUGCGGCUGCCUGCAGGCUCCCCGAGCGCCAUGGGCUGCGCCGCUCGGACCCGGCGCUGGGUACGUCCCAAUCUGGCCCUUCUGCCCGCUGCACCGCACUGCACCAGCAAAUAAAAUACACGAGCACCACGGACAAAAACAUUACUGCAGCCUUGCAGAGGCUGCAAAUACCUGGUUCGGAGACACCUCAAUUUUCCGCAGUCAUGCAGCUGCUGCCAAAUACCCUGACGCAGUUAUUCCGCCGAUGGUGAAGAAGGAAGAAUCCUGAUAUUUCCCCCGGGGGAAACCUUUACAGGAAUGUUGCAGCACACACGCAGCAAAGUAAAUGACCUAAAACGCAAGUAUGGACUUGAGUUUCCACUUCUCAAGCCCACAAAAGCAGCUUAAUUUCUAGGUGUAGCAAGCAUACCUUGACAACCCUUCCAGGCAUUUCUAUAUCAGCUUAUUGCAUUAAGUAAAUCAAGAAAGUCACAAGCCAAGGCCGCAGGCCACACAUUGCCACAGUGACUGGAAACACGGGAGUAAAAAAGGAAGUAUACCAAGAUCAGAGAGGUGAGGAAAGCCCCAGACUCUCUUGUGUGGGUGGCAUGGCACGAAAAGUCUCCUAAGCUGCACUGCGCCUUCUCCACUUAGUUCUGAGCUGUUUGAAAGCCCAGACCACCAGCCCCCUAGGAAGGUGCUACUGCGGUUUCAAAUGUCAAAAGCAGGGCAAAACACCUAAAAGCAUUCGUUUCAUAUGGAUAAUCUAGCACUGGAAGAUUUCAACCAGGGAUUUUCUGUUGCUUUUGUAAAGUUGAGAAAUGGUUUAACUACUGCUGAGGGAGGGGAAAAAAAUAAUUGGUAAGAGAUUUAAAAACUAAGGAGUCAGUGGGAAUUAAGUUGGAAUAGUAUCACCAUGAAGUACACCAAGGUCUCAGUGGAUAAGACCCUUUUUCUGUGUUUCCAUGAAAAUUUGAAACUGUGACAAAACUGAAACAAUCUGUCGUUCUCUCUACUACAGGUCAAAGUUUUAGUUAAAAAUUAAAUUAUUAGUAAUGUUUGGGGUUCUUUUUUAUUUUAUGUUCAGAGACUAACAAAUUACUCACUUAGGUGUUUCACAUUCCAUUUUGUGCUGGAUACCAAGAAGUUAUUUAGAAGAAAAACAAAAAUAUAAGAAGGAAUGAAAUACAUUUCCAAUUCAGAGGCUUUAAAAAUAAAACAAAACCCUAUCAGGAAUCCAAAAGCAAUUCAAAUGUUAUUUCAUGUAUUUUCAGUAAAACGCUUCCAACAAAAUACCUAUACAGCCAGCAAAUAGAAAUCCAGUUCCAAGAAGACUGCAGACAAUGAUAGCAGAUUAGAAGAAAAAUGCUUCUGAAAGUUUCCCUGUCUUAAAUUCACUGAUAGCUGCCUAUCAAUCUUGAGCUGGAAAAGAAAAAAAAAGGAACUUCAGAAAUCCUGCCUAGUUUUCUCACUAUUGGAGCCUUAUUCCAAAAGGCAACCAUGAUGAUUUCAGCUGAACUGUUUGACAUUUUAAUGAAUUUUUUAAAAAGCAGACAAAAAUCAGUAGUGUCUGGUGCCAAGAAAGAAAGUUUGCAGAUGAGAGGCAGCCAGCUCUUAUUGAAGCCCUAUGUAUGUGAAAACAUGAUUGUUUCAUGCCAUCUCGUUAUUCAUACUCAGGAUAUAUGCAAUUAAAACCUAAGUAAUAUUGUGCAUAAAUAUUAUUCUUAAUCUUUCUGUGUUUGCAUUUCUCAUCAGCAGAGUGAAACAACAAUUUUCAGAGUGGCUGUAUUAUUGUUCCUCAGCUUUUGGAUGCACACACUGAGAUAUCCCAUGGCUUUCAAGAAAUCAGGACCUCGGGGUAAAUUUCCGCCACGAUUGCAUGUGCCAGAGACCUGGCACGAUAGCAAGAUUCCUGCUGGCUUCAAGGAGUCAGGAUUUUGCUUGAGCCAUCUCAGGCUAGGUUAGGCAUGUGAACAGAAUUAAUCAGCACUUCUGAAAAAACAGGAUUUCUAAAAAAUUAAGACAGAGCCAGCCGUUAGCACUGAAAAGUUUUUUCUUUCCUAGUUCAUUUCUCCUUUUUCUUGAUGAGGAUUCUUCACACUAAAUAAAAAGCUUAUAAAGUGGAAAAAUCAUGCAACAGCUGCCUAGAUUACCAAACUUAGGUGUGGCUAUUUAGUUACU